rnacentral:rRNA from 1 species
CAAGUCGAGGGGCAGCACGGGUAGCAAUACCUGGUGGCGACCGGCAAACGGGUGCGGAACACGUACACAACUUUCCUUUAAGUGGGGGAUAGCCCAGAGAAAUUUGGAUUAAUACCCCGUAAAAUUAUGUAGUGGCAUCAUUAUAUAAUUAAAGCUCCGGCGCUUGAAGAUGGGUGUGCGGCUGAUUAGGUAGUUGGCGGGGUAACGGCCCACCAAGCCUUCGAUCAGUAACUGGUGUGAGAGCACGACCAGUCACACGGGCACUGAGACACGGGCCCGACUCCUACGGGAGGCAGCAGUAAGGAAUAUUGGUCAAUGGACGCAAGUCUGAACCAGCCAUGCCGCGUGAAGGAUGAAGGUCCUCUGGAUUGUAAACUUCUUUUAUUUGGGAAGAAACCCAUUUUUUCUAGAGUGGUUGACGGUACCAGAUGAAUAAGCACCGGCUAACUCCGUGCCAGCAGCCGCGGUAAUACGGAGGGUGCAAGCGUUAUCCGGAUUCACUGGGUUUAAAGGGUGCGUAGGUGGGCAGGUAAGUCAGUGGUGAAAUCUCCGGGCUUAACCCGGAAACUGCCAUUGAUACUAUCUGUCUUGAAUACCGUGGAGGUGAGCGGAAUAUGUCAUGUAGCGGUGAAAUGCUUAGAUAUGACAUAGAACACCAAUUGCGAAGGCAGCUCACUACGCGAAUAUUGACACUGAGGCACGAAAGCGUGGGGAUCAAACAGGAUUAGAUACCCUGGUAGUCCACGCCCUAAACGAUGGAUACUCGACAUACGCGAUACACAGUGUGUGUCUGAGCGAAAGCAUUAAGUAUCCCACCUGGGAAGUACGACCGCAAGGUUGAAACUCA